rnacentral:lncRNA from 1 species
ACGGUGGGGGUGGGCUCGGCGGCGGCGGCGGGGGAGAGGAGGAGGGGUCGCGGGCGGUGGAGAGGAGGGUGAGGAGGGAGGCAACGAUGAAGAAGGAGGGUGAGGAGGGAGGCGACGGUCCGAUCUGCCUAUUUUUUUUCGGCGAGAAAAUAAAAAAGAACGACAGAAACGAAGAGGAAAGAGAAAGAGGAAAGAGAAAAAGUAAUAAGAGUAUUUUGGUCAGUUUGCUGAAAAAACGGACCGAAUCUGCAAAAACGAAAAAAAUGACCCGAUUUUGCAAAAGUCCAAAAUAAAUAAAUUUUUUAUGCAAAUUGGUCUUAAAAAUACCACAUUAUUAUGUAUGACCAUCAUUUUCUACACUUUUUCACCACUUGGGUUUCUUUGCUUUCCUGUCGCCACGUAGACAGCGGCCGGACGUACGCUCUUCGUACGGCCGAACUCGCACCGAAUCCUAACGGCGGAAUAGAAAGGAUCUCCUCUAUAUCUUUCGAUGAUCCCGUACAAGUUGGCGUGGUCAGGAGAAAUUACUCCCUACACUUGGUCCACCGUGCACCGCAUAAUAAAAAUAAUGUGCAAUAAGAGUCCAGCAACUACACUCUUAUGAGUACGAUCACCUCGUACUCAUAAGUUAUUUUCGAUAAUAGAGCAUUCGAAUUGACGAUCCAUACCGUUAAAUAUUAUCUAGAUCAUUUAAAAUAUCUAAAAAUUAAAUUUUUUAAUUUGUCGAUAUCAUUACCUUACGAUAAAAAAAUCACAAAAUUAAUAAUUUUUAAUGGCUAGUAUAGAAUAUUUGCUAGUUUAACGGUGUAAAAAAAUCAAAACCAGUUGAAUUUUUUAUAGAAAAUUCUAUUCACUACAUAGAUAAAGAUCAAUAACUUCGAUCUUAAAUUGACGAAUCCGAUCAUCCAUUUUUAAGACGUCGUUUAAUUUUGACCGUUCAUUUUAUACUCGUUUGAUGAACUUUAUUAUGAUUUUGAAAAAUUAUGAAAUUUAUUUUUUAAAAGUUUCAAAUACUUUGGAUCAUAUUUAACGGAGUGGAUCGUCGAUUCGAAAGCAUCAUAGAUAUAUAUAUAUAUAUAUAUAUAAGAGCUAGUCUUCUAUAAUAUCUAUAGUAUUGGUGCUCUGGUACUAUAGUCAUGUUUUCGAUCUUCGGGCGUUCAAAUCAACGAUCCACACCGUUAAAAUUGAUUUAGGAUAUUUAAAGUUUUUAGAAAUAAAAUUUUAUAUUUUUUCGACAUAGUUUACUUUAUGAUCAAAUCAUUUCAAAAUUGUCAAUUUUCAAUGGCUACUAUGACGAGUUUGAAGUUUGACGGUGUAGAAGAAUCUAAAUUUCUUCAAAUUUUGAUGGAAAAUACUUUAAACUAUCUAGAUUAAGGUUAACAUUCUUGAUCUUGAAUUUAAAAGUCCUAUGCUCAAAUUUUAAAGAUUAUUCAAUUUUCAUCGUCCAUUUUGACAUAAUUUAUUUACUAAGUAAACGACGUCGGAAAAAACUAAAAUUUUAUUCCUAAGAACUUCAUAUACCCUGGACCAUAUUUAACAGUGUGGAUCGUUAAUUUAAACACUCUAAGAUCGAAAACAAGACUAAGGUG